UUCAUCGAGCUAAGCUGCUUGACUCUGAUUGGCUAACAGUUAACCAAUAAGAGCCUGGCUUUCAGCAUCCUUUACCCAGCUCAACUGGGCAAGCUCAUGAAUAGUAAUGAGCUCAGGCAAUAUGACGUCAGACUGAUUGGCUGUUGUAAUUGGCUUGAUUUCUCCUUUUAUUUCUUUUCAGUGGCUAGAGCUGAAGGAGGAGGGAGCAGUUCAUUUUCACAUUCACGACGUAACACAAACACACAUUGACCUGACCUAUUUCAAAAAUGCAAUGCAUGUAAAAAUGGUUUUGUGUGGCAGGGCACCUUCUAAAUCAUGAAAUGCUGCACUAUUGACCGUAGACCAGGUUUUUCUUGGUCAAUGGUGCGA